GACGAACGCUGGCGGCGUGCUUAACACAUGCAAGUCGAACGGUAAGGCCCUUCGGGGUACACGAGUGGCGAACGGGUGAGUAACACGUGGGUGAUCUGCCCUGCACUUCGGGAUAAGCCUGGGAAACUGGGUCUAAUACCGGAUAGGACUCCUGCCUGCAUGGGUGGGGGUGGAAAGCUUUUGUGGUGUGGGAUGGGCCCGCGGCCUAUCAGCUUGUUGGUGGGGUGAUGGCCUACCAAGGCGACGACGGGUAGCCGGCCUGAGAGGGUGACCGGCCACACUGGGACUGAGAUACGGCCCAGACUCCUACGGGAGGCAGCAGUGGGGAAUAUUGCACAAUGGGCGCAAGCCUGAUGCAGCGACGCCGCGUGAGGGAUGACGGCCUUCGGGUUGUAAACCUCUUUCAGCACCGACGAAGCGCAAGUGACGGUAGGUGCAGAAGAAGGACCGGCCAACUACGUGCCAGCCGCCGCAGUAA
rnacentral:rRNA from 1 species